rnacentral:lncRNA from 1 species
GGUGGCUCUGGUAUGCAUCUAAGGUUUCUCUCAACUUAAGGCCUUUUACCCACCCCACCCCAAAAAGAAACCAAAACUGAUCCUAGUUCACUUGCUUCAUAAGUUGUACAGAAAAACCUGGAGGUGGGAGAAGUUCUCACCAUUGACGUUUCUUGCAUUGCCGCUCUCACUCCCUCCAUCAAUUUCAGAAUCAACUACCAUGCUGCACCUGUAAGACGGGCAGUGUUCGGGGUACGUUUGCUUCUUUUUGUUUUCCCUUCCUAGCAAAAUGAUCAUUACUCACGUCUCUACAAUCUUCUUUAUUUUAUCAAAAAGGGUGAUAACGUAGUAACAGCGACUCUGACGGGACCAGGCAUUGUGUUCAUACAAAGCUUACCGUUCCAUCGGCUCUCCCAGCGAAUCGCAAGGUUAAAGGAUCAAUCUCUUUUCUUGGUUGCCUUUUAUUGUUUAAGGAAGAACUAACUAUUCAAAAAUUAGACUCACAAAAGAGAUUUUCUCUUUUACAAAAGUGAUUUGUUCUUUUAUAGGUCGGUGACUUCCCCAAACAUGAGGGAAAAUCCACGAUUUUUAGUUCAAAUAGGAUUAUUCUUGUUCCUUGCGUACGUUGUAAUUGCAUCUUCUUUGAUCCUUACCGAAAUGUGAAACAUAGACUUCCUUUCGUUUUCUUUUUUUUUCUGCUGCUGUUGUUGCAGUAGAUUGGACAUGUAAUACAUACUUUUAAAAGCAUGGUAUGCAUCUAAGGUUUCUCUCAACUUAAGGCCUUUUACCCACCCCCUCACAAAAAAAAAAACAAAACUGAUCCUAGUUCACUUGCUUCAUAAGUUGUACAGAAAAACCUGGAGGUGGGAGAAGUUCUCACCAUUGACGUUUCUUGCAUUGCCGCUCUCACUCCCUCCAUCAAUUUCAGAAUCAACUACCAUGCUGCACCUGUAAGACGGGCAGUGUUCGGGGUACGUUUGCUUCUUUUUGUUUUCCCUUCCUAGCAAAAUGAUCUUUACUCACGUCUCUACAACCUUCUAUAUUUUACCAAAAAGGGUGAUAACGUAGUAACAGCGACGCUGACGGGACCAGGCAUUGUGUUCAUCCAAAGCUUACCGUUCCAUCGACUCUCCCAGCGAAUCGCAAGGUCAAAAGAUCUAUCUCUCCUCUUGGUUGGCUUUUAUUUUAUAAGGACGAACUAUUCAAAAAUUAGACUCACAAAAGUGAUUUGUUCUUUUAUAGGUCGGUGACUUCCCCAAACAUGAGGGAAAAUCCACGAUUUUUAGUUCAAAUAGGAUUAUUCUUGUUCCUUGCGUACGUUGUAAUUGCAUCUUCUUUGAUCCUUACCGAAAUGUGAAACAUAGACUUCCUUUCGUUUUCUUUUUUUUUCUGCUGCUGUUGUUGCAGUAGAUUGGACA